UUGACCAAUUUACCCUUUUUAGGGUCAUUCGGUCGCUUUUGAAUAAAUUGUCAAUUCAAUUGACCAAAUUACCCUUUUUAGGGUCUUUUGCCCAAUUUACCCAUUUUUAGGGCAACCGAGCCGAUUUUGAAUAAAUCAAGUUUCGUUCAAUCUGUUUGAUCAAUUUACCCUUUUUAGGGAGAUCUGAUUAAUUUUGGAUAAAUUUCAUUCAAUUCAUUUGACCUGUUUCCCUUUUUAGGGUAAUUUGGUCGAUUUUAAAUAAAUUGUCAACUUCAUUCAAUCCAUUUGCCCUAUUGGGGUUUCAUUGUCAAAUUCCAAAUUGGGAAAUCUAGUCAAUU
rnacentral:lncRNA from 1 species